GUGAUUCAUAAGUGAAUCUUAAAGAUGGUGGCAUAGGGAAACACAGCUUGUCUCCUUGCACAACCACAUAAAAAUUUGAACUAAAUUAUAGAAAAACCAUCACUCAAAACCAUUGGAAAUUGAGUUGAAGGGAAGUCCAGAAACUGUGGAAUUAGAGAACCACAU